GGUCCAGUGGUGUAGUGGUUAUCACGUUCGCCUCACACGCGAAAGGUCCCCGGUUCGAACCCGAGCUGGACCA
rnacentral:tRNA from 1 species